rnacentral:rRNA from 1 species
ACACAUGCAAGUCGAGGGGCAGCAUGGUCUUAGCUUGCUAAGGCCGAUGGCGACCGGCGCACGGGUGAGUAACGCGUAUCCAACCUGCCUUACACUCUUGGACAGCCUUCUGAAAGGGAGAUUAAUACAAGAUGUUAUCAUGAGUAAGCAUUUUCGCAUGAUUAAAGGUUUACCGGUGUAAGAUGGGGAUGCGUUCCAUUAGAUAGUAGGCGGGGUAACGGCCCACCUAGUCUUCGAUGGAUAGGGGUUCUGAGAGGAAGGUCCCCCACAUUGGAACUGAGACACGGUCCAAACUCCUACGGGAGGCAGCAGUGAGGAAUAUUGGUCAAUGGACGAGAGUCUGAACCAGCCAAGUAGCGUGAAGGAUGAAGGUUCUAUGGAUUGUAAACUUCUUUUAUACGGGAAUAAACGAAUCCACGCGUGGAUUUUUGCAUGUACCGUAUGAAUAAGGAUCGGCUAACUCCGUGCCAGCAGCCGCGGUAAUACGGAGGAUCCGAGCGUUAUCCGGAUUUAUUGGGUUUAAAGGGAGCGUAGAUGGGUUGUUAAGUCAGUUGUGAAAGUUUGCGGCUCAACCGUAAAAUUGCAAUUGAUACUGGCAGUCUUGAGUACAGUUGAGGUAGGCGGAAUUCGUGGUGUAGCGGUGAAAUGCUUAGAUAUCACGAAGAACUCCGAUUGCGAAGGCAGCUUACUAACCUGUAACUGACAUUGAUGCUCGAAAGUGUGGGUAUCAAACAGGAUUAGAUACCCUGGUAGUCCACACGGUAAACGAUGAAUACUCGCUGUAGGCGAUAUACGGUCUGCGGCCAAGCGAAAGCAUUAAGUAUUCCACCUGGGGAGUACGCCGGCAACGGUGAAACUCAAAGGAAUUGACGGGGGCCCGCACAAGCGGAGGAACAUGUGGUUUAAUUCGAUGAUACGCGAGGAACCUUACCCGGGCUUAAAUUGCAACCGAAUAUGGCG